rnacentral:rRNA from 1 species
CCCUUCGGGGUGGAUUAGUGGCGAACGGGUGAGUAACACGUGGGCAAUCUGCCCUGCACUCUGGGACAAGCCCUGGAAACGGGGUCUAAUACCGGAUACUGAUCGCCUUGGGCAUCCUUGGUGAUCGAAAGCUCCGGCGGUGCAGGAUGAGCCCGCGGCCUAUCAGCUUGUUGGUGAGGUAAUGGCUCACCAAGGCGACGACGGGUAGCCGGCCUGAGAGGGCGACCGGCCACACUGGGACUGAGACACGGCCCAGACUCCUACGGGAGGCAGCAGUGGGGAAUAUUGCACAAUGGGCGAAAGCCUGAUGCAGCGACGCCGCGUGAGGGAUGACGGCCUUCGGGUUGUAAACCUCUUUCAGCAGGGAAGAAGCGAAAGUGACGGUACCUGCAGAAGAAGCGCCGGCUAACUACGUGCCAGCAGCCGCGGUAAUACGUAGGGCGCGAGCGUUGUCCGGAAUUAUUGGGCGUAAAGAGCUCGUAGGCGGCUUGUCGCGUCGGUUGUGAAAGCCCGGGGCUUAACCCCGGGUCUGCAGUCGAUACGGGCAGGCUAGAGUUCGGUAGGGGAGAUCGGAAUUCCUGGUGUAGCGGUGAAAUGCGCAGAUAUCAGGAGGAACACCGGUGGCGAAGGCGGAUCUCUGGGCCGAUACUGACGCUGAGGAGCGAAAGCGUGGGGAGCGAACAGGAUUAGAUACCCUGGUAGUCCACGCCGUAAACGGUGGGCACUAGGUGUGGGCGACAUUCCACGUCGUCCGUGCCGCAGCUAACGCAUUAAGUGCCCCCGCCCUGGGGAGUACGGCCGCAAGGCU